AACUUACUAGAGUCGGUACAAUCACAGUCUCAGCUUUUUAUUGUGCAGUAUAUACACAUUUUUAUUUUAGUAUUUAUUUAAAAGUUUCUGCUAAAAAUGAUUCAACUUGCUCAGGUGACUUAGCAUUUGCUGAAUGAAGGUGUGCAAUUUUGUCGCCGUUUUUAAAUACUAGCAAGCUAGGGAUACCCAUAACUUCAUUUUCAACAACUACAUCUUCUAAUUCAUCACGAUUAACAGUAUACCAUUGGUAAUCAUUAUAUUGUUCUACGAUUGGGUCAAUCCAUAAAUCCAUAGCACGACAGUCUGGGCACCAUCCUGCCUCAAAUUUAACAAUUACAGGUGUAUCGCUAUUAAUUACAGAUUUAAAUGAUUCAUUACUUUUGAUUGAUUGCAUUGUAACAACUCCUCUAGAUAGUUUAAUAAUUUUUAUUAUAGCUAAAUUUAUAUCAUAAUAAAAAAUUUUAGCUUCAAAAUGAAAGCCUUUUGCUAUGGAAAAUGAUAUAUUUAUUUUAAAUACAUAAAGGA
rnacentral:sRNA from 1 species